rnacentral:rRNA from 1 species
AACUUCAAAGUCGGCCAAAGGUUGUUGCUGGUGAUUAUUCACAUGUGCACGCCUUUGGUCGCAAAUCCACACACACCUGUGCRUCUAUGACUCRAGGUUGUAAUGACUGAGAGUAACUUUUAUACACUCUUGUAUGUAAUGGAAUGUCUUUUUGUGCUAUAAUGUACAAUAUAAACAACUUUCAACAACGGAUCUCUUGGCUCUCGCAUCGAUGAAGAACGCAGCGAAAUGCGAUAAGUAAUGUGAAUUGCAGAAUUCAGUGAAUCAUCGAAUCUUUGAACGCACCUUGCACCCUUUGGUAUUCCGAAGGGUACGCCCGUUUGAGUGUCAUUGUAAUCUCACUUCUACAACUUUAUUGUUGUUUGAAUGUGGACUUGGAUGUUGCCGUUUUAUCACGGCUCGUCUUAAAUGCCUGAGUGUACCCUGUUUUGCAGCGUAUCCAGUGUAAUAAACAUUUCACUAGAGUUGGUCGAAAGACYGCGUUGACUAUAUGGGCUCUAUGCUUCAAACCGUCUGCCAUGUGGACAAUUUCUUGACAAUUUGACCUCAAAUCGGGUGGGACUACCCGCUGAACUUAAGCAUAUCAAUAAGCGGAGGAAAAGAAACUAACAAGGAUUCCCCUAGUAACGGCGAGUGAAGAGGGAAAAGCUCAAAUUUUAAAUCUGGUGUCUUUGACUCCCGAGUUGUAAUCUAGAGAAGUGUUUUCCGUGUCGGACCGUGUACAAGUUCCCUGGAACGGGGCGUCAUAGAGGGUGAGAAUCCCGUAUAUGCCACGGACUACCGAUGCUCUGUGAUACACUCUCAACGAGUCGAGUUGUUUGGGAAUGCAGCUCAAAAUGGGUGGUAAAUUCCAUCUAAAGCUAAAUAUUGGCGAGAGACCGAUAGCGAACAAGUACCGUGAGGGAAAGAUGAAAAGCACUUUGGAAAGAGAGUGAAACAGUACGUGAAAUUGUUGAAAGGGAAGCGUUUGAAGUCAGUCRCAUCUGUUGGGGUUCAGCCUGGCUUUUGCCUGGUGUAUUUCCUUUCCGAUGGGUCAGCAUCAGUUUYGACCGAGGGAAAAAGACAUUUGGAAUGUGGCUGUCUUCGGGCAGUGUUAUAGCCUUGUGUUGUAUGUCUCGGUUGGGACUGAGGAUUGCAGCGCGCC